GUGAAUCAUCGAAUCUUUGAACGCAAAUUGCACUCUCUGGUAUUCCGGAGAGCAUGCCUGUUCGAGGGUCAGUUUAACUAAAAAUCGGUGUGGUUGCUGCCUUUCGUGGUGACCCCCCGGAUUUGGGUCGUCUUGCCUUCGGUUAAGUGACUUAAAAUCUUGCAUGAUAUUUUUCGAACGUCUUUUAUUGUUUUUACGUC
rnacentral:misc_RNA from 1 species